GAUGAACGCUGGCGGCGUGCUUAACACAUGCAAGUCGAACGAGAGAUACAGGAGGAAGUUUUCGGACGGAAUCCGGUAGAUCGAGUGGCGGACGGGUGAGUAACGCGUGGGGAACCUGCCUCAUACAGGGGGAUAACAGUUGGAAACGACUGUUAAUACCGCAUAAGACCACAGAGUCGCAUGACUCAGGGGUAAAAACUCCGGUGGUAUGAGAUGGACCCGCGUUCGAUUAGCCAGUUGGCGGGGUAACGGCCCACCAAAGCGACGAUCGAUAGCCGAUUUGAGAGAAUGACCGGCCACAUUGGGACUGAGACACGGCCCAAACUCCUACGGGAGGCAGCAGUGGGGAAUAUUGCACAAUGGGGGGAACCCUGAUGCAGCGACGCCGCGUGAGUGAAGAAGUAUUUCGGUAUGUAAAGCUCUAUCAGCAGGGAAGAAGAUGACGGACCUGA
rnacentral:rRNA from 1 species